rnacentral:rRNA from 1 species
CCUACGGGAGGCAGCAGUGGGGAAUUUUGGACAAUGGGCGCAAGCCUGAUCCAGCAAUGCCGCGUGAGUGAAGAAGGCCUUCGGGUUGUAAAGCUCUUUUGUCAGGGAAGAAACGGUGGGGGCUAAUAUCCCUUGCUAAUGACGGUACCUGAAGAAUAAGCACCGGCUAACUACGUGCCAGCAGCCGCGGUAAUACGUAGGGUGCAAGCGUUAAUCGGAAUUACUGGGCGUAAAGCGUGCGCAGGCGGUUUUGUAAGUUUGUCGUGAAAUCCCCGGGCUCAACCUGGGAAUGGCGAUGAAGACUGCAAGGCUAGAAUCUGGCAGAGGGGGGUAGAAUUCCACGUGUAGCAGUGAAAUGCGUAGAGAUGUGGAGGAACACCGAUGGCGAAGGCAGCCCCCUGGGUCAAGAUUGACGCUCAUGCACGAAAGCGUGGGGAGCAAACAGGAUUAGAUACCCUGGUAGUCCACGCCCUAAACGAUGUCUACUAGUUGUCGGGUUUUAAUUAACUUGGUAACGCAGCUAACGCGUGAAGUAGACCGCCUGGGGAGUACGGUCGCAAGAUUAAAACUUAAAUGAAUUGACGGCUGAGACGUGCCGACGGACGACGACGAGGGAGGUUAGG